CAGUCGCCGCGGGAACACCAGCACCUCGAGUGGUCAGGAGGUUUAUUGGGCCUAAAGCAUCCGUAGCCGGUUGCAUAAGUUUUCGGUUAAAUCUAUGCGCUUAACGUAUAGGCCGCCGAAAAUACUGUGCAGCUAGGGAGUGGGAGGGGUACACGGUACUCGAUAGGAAGGGGUAAAAUCCUUUGAUCUAUUGAUGACCACCUGUGGCGAAGGCGGUGUACCAGAACACGUUCGACGGUGAGGGAUGAAAGCUGGGGGAGCAAACCGGAUUAGAUACCCCGGUAGUCCCUGUCUCUUAUAC
rnacentral:rRNA from 1 species